rnacentral:tRNA from 1 species
GGGACAGUGGCUCAGUGGUAGAGUGCUUGCCUUGCAUGCAUGAGGCCCUGGGUUUGAUUCCUCAGCACCA